rnacentral:rRNA from 1 species
CACGUAGGCACCAAGCGUUGUCCGGAUUUAUUGGGCGUAAAGAGCUCGUAGGCGGUUCAGUAAGUCGGGUGUGAAAACUCUGGGCUCAACCCAGAGACGCCACCCGAUACUGCUGUGACUUGAGUACGGUAGGGGAGUGGGGAAUUCCUGGUGUAGCGGUGAAAAUGCGCAGAUAUCAGGAGGAACACCAGUGGCGAAGGCGCCACUCUGGGCCGUAACUGACGCUGAGGAGCGAAAGCGUGGGUAGCAAACAGG